rnacentral:snRNA from 1 species
CUACUUAUCUGGACGGAAUCAAUGGGUGAUCAAGAGGGCCCAUGGCCUAGGUUGGCUUCCUCCAUUGCACUAGGGAGGGGUGCCCGCUUAACAUCUUGUCAAGUGAGAGAGUGUAUGUCAUAAUUUGUGGUAGAGGGGAUGGAUACGCGUUCACGCGGCCUCAG